UACGGAGGGUGCAAGCGUUGCUCGGAAUUAUUGGGCGUAAAGGGUCGGUAGGUGGUCUCAUUUGUCUGGGGUGAAAGCCUUGAGCUCAACUCAAGAAGUGCCUCAGAAACGGUGGGACUAGAGUCCUGGAGAGGGUCGUGGAAUUCCCGGUGUAGCGGUGAAAUGCGUAGAGAUCGGGAGGAACACCAGAGGCGAAGGCGGCGACCUGGACAGGAACUGACACUAAACUACGAAAGCGUGGGGAGCGAACAGG
rnacentral:misc_RNA from 1 species